AUUGAACGCUGGCGGAAUGCUUUACACAUGCAAGUCGAGCGGCAGCGCGGGGCAACCUGGCGGCGAGCGGCGAACGGGUGAGUAAUGCAUCGGAACAUGUCCAUGUCGUGGGGGAUAGCCCGGCGAAAGCCGGAUUAAUACCGCAUACGCCCGAGAGGGGAAAGCAGGGGACCGCAAAGGCCUUGCGCGAUUGGGUUGGCCGAUGUCCGAUUAGCUUGUUGGUGAGGUAAAGGCUUACCAAGGCGAUGAUCGGUAGCUGGUCUGAGAGGAUGAUCAGCCACACUGGGACUGAGACACGGCCCAGACUCCUACGGGAGGCAGCAGUGGGGAAUUUUGGACAAUGGGGGCAACCCUGAUCCAGCCAUUCCGCGUGAGUGAAGAAGGCCUUCGG
rnacentral:rRNA from 1 species